rnacentral:rRNA from 1 species
UGCCAGACUCCUACGGGAGGCAGCAGUGGGGAAUAUUGCACAAUGGGGGGAACCCUGAUGCAGCGACGCCGCGUGGGUGAAGGAGCACCUCGGUGCGUAAAGCCCUAUCGGCAGGGAAGAAACAGACGGUACCUGACUAAGAAGCCCCGGCUAACUCCGUGCCAGCAGCCGCGGGAAUACGUAGGGGGCAAGCGUUAUCCGGAUUUACUGGGUGUAAAGGGAGCGUAGACGGCGGUGCAAGCCAGAUGUGAAAGCCCGGGGCUCAACCCCGGGACUGCAUUUGGAACUGUGCUGCUAGAGUGUCGGAGAGGCAGGCGGAAUUCCUAGUGUAGCGGUGAAAUGCGUAGAUAUUAGGAGGAACACCAGUGGCGAAGGCGGCCUGCUGGGCUUUUACUGACGCUGAGGCUCGAAAGUGUGGGGAGCAAACAGGAUUAGAUACCCCGGUA